ACGGUCAGUAUAGAAUCUUGACCCUCCAGCAUUCUGUACCAACCUUGGGUGCAGAACCAGGCAAAAAACUGAAGAGUUGGAGAAGGAAGACAUUAGUGAAGACCAGGAAGAAUGUCAGGAGCAGCAGGGGCAGAAGAGGACUACCAUGGUCACCUGUGUUAAGGACAUCACCUGAGACGUUCUUGGCACCUGUUGAUGGAGAUGCAACAGGAACACAGAAUCUCUGGAGCAGACUCUGACCCCAGCUUCACCAAGCGUUUCCUUGACUACUUCAAACAUCAGUGAAAUAAUCUCCCAGGGUCUCCAGCUCCCUAUCUUCGAUCUUGCCUCUGAGACCUGUGUGAUUGAUGUCUUCCUGUGUGAAGCGGAGCCUUUCUGCCCUUCUGAUGUGGAACAGCUGCCAACCGUAAGGAUUUAUAGAGUUGAACAGAAAAGGAUGAAGGCACAGGAGCCUGCCUCACCCGUCAGCACUUCCCGAGAUCUGAGUUCAGGUGUCUGUGAUCUCUCCAAAUGGAGAAACAACCACCUGAUUGCAGCUGCACCUGUCACAUCCCACGAAAAAAACUGCCCUGUGAGCUUCAGGCCUUGAAACAAGAAAUCAUUCAGAAGCUCUCUCUCUUUCUUUCCUUGAAGAUCAUCGUAAGUGUGCACGGUGUGUGCAAACACUUGAAAAUAUGAUGGAGGAGCUCUCUGGGUGUGCACAAAGUCAAGUGCAGCUCCAUGAAGGAAAAAAAUGCAGCCAUCAAAAUGAACUCUCUUGGCUCAUUUCAAUUCUUCAUAUGUACAGCUUUUAGGCCCAUGGUCUCGAGAGCAUGUCUGCAUCUGCCGUAUGACGGCUGACUUUCACCCCAGUCUCAAAAGGAACUGGAACUCUGAAGAAUUGCUUUUAAUAAUAUAAAGUUUAGAAAUGUCUCUAAAGUCCUCAACAUUAGGCCACAAGCAGUCCUGUGUGCUCAAAGACAAAAGAGAUGGAAUGGCUUGACUCUGCUGAGGGAAAGACUCAGCCAGUCCUUCUAAGAUGUGGAGAAGAGGAGGCUUGCCCUCGGGAAGGUCACAUUUGCUGACAUGGAUCCAACCCCAUUUCUUCCUGUAUAAAAAACGGUCUUUCCUCACUCUUCAGGUGCUAAAUACUCAGGGCCCUCUGUUCUGCCCUGGGGCAGUGCAUGUGUUGUGAUUUCCUCCUCUUUCACCUGCUAAGAGAAGACAAGUCUUCACAUUUCCCUGGGGCUCUCAGUCCUGCUCUCUCUUAGCACA